rnacentral:rRNA from 1 species
UACGUAGGUCCCGAGCGUUGUCCGGAUUUAUUGGGCGUAAAGCGAGCGCAGGUGGUUUAUUAAGUCUAGUGUAAAAGGCAGUGGCUCAACCAUUGUAUGCAUUGGAAACUGGUAGACUUGAGUGCAGGAGAGGAGAGUGGAAUUCCAUGUGUAGCGGUGAAAUGCGUAGAUAUAUAGAGGAACACCGGUGGCGAAAGCGGCUCUCUGGCCUGUAACUGACACUGAGGCUCGAAAGCGUGGGGAGCAAACAGG